rnacentral:lncRNA from 1 species
UGCUCCCCACCCUGAGGGUGUUUCUGACAGUUGUGUGGCGGGGGGAGGCCACUCUUAUGUGAGGAAGGCAGGAGUGUGGUGCUCCCUCACUGAUAGGCCAUUCCCCAGUGCACCACUGCUGCAGAACAGCAGCAAGAUGUCACAGACUCCGAAGGAAAGAGCAGAGUCAGAACCUGUCACUGACGCCCACUGUAGGAGGCAGCUGUCGGCCAGAGUCCUCCCUGGGCUGGAUGAGCAUGUUUAGCUUCUUCAGGUUAAAACAUCUGGUGAAGUUCAAAUUUCAGAAAUCAAGGACUGCCAGAAGAGAAGAGCCCCAGCAGAUGAGUGUCUGGAAGCUCACCUGAAACCUGCGAUGCGUAAAGGAAUGAAGCGUGUGGAUAAGUUGAAUUGUACAUUUUUUUAAAACUUGAUUGCCAUGAAAGCAGAAAUUAUAAGGUGGCCAAAAAACCAAAACAAACAAAUAAACAAACAACCCCCCC